rnacentral:rRNA from 1 species
GAUCAUGGCUCAGAGUGAACGCUGGCGGCAGGCCUAAUACAUGCAAGUCGAACGGCAGCACAGCAGAGCUUGCUCUGUGGGUGGCGAGUGGCGGACGGGUGAGGAAUACAUGGGAAUCUGCCCAGUCGUGGGGGAUGACGUAGGGAAACUUACGCUAAUACCGCAUGCGCCCUUCGGGGGAAAGCCGGGGACCUUCGGGCCUGGCGCGAUUGGAUGAGCCCAUGUCGGAUUAGCUAGUUGGCGGGGUAAUGGCCCACCAAGGCGACGAUCCGUAGCUGGUCUGAGAGGAUGAUCAGCCACACUGGAACUGAGACACGGUCCAGACUCCUACGGGAGGCAGCAGUAGGGAAUAUUGGACAAUGGGCGCAAGCCUGAUCCAGCCAUGCCGCGUGAGUGAAGAAGGCCCUCGGGUUGUAAAGCUCUUUUGUCCGGAAAGAAAAGCGCCGGGUUAAUACCCUAGUGUCCUGACGGUACCGGAAGAAUAAGCACCGGCUAACUUCGUG